GGAGAGAUGUCCGAGUGGUUGAAGGAGCACGCCUGGAAAGCGUGUGUAGGGGCAACUCUACCGGGGGUUCGAAUCCCCCUCUCUCCGCCA
rnacentral:tRNA from 7 species